CAGCAGCCGCGGGAAUACGGAGGGCGCGAGCGUUACCCGGAUUUACUGGGCGUAAAGGGCGUGUAGGCGGCCUGGGGCGUCCCAUGUGAAAGGCCACGGCUCAACCGUGGAGGAGCGUGGGAUACGCUCAGGCUAGAGGGUGGGAGAGGGUGGUGGAAUUCCCGGAGUAGCGGUGAAAUGCGCAGAUACCGGGAGGAACGCCGAUGGCGAAGGCAGCCACCUGGUCCACUUCUGACGCUGAGGCGCGAAAGCGUGGGGAGCAAACCGGAUUAGAUACCCGUAGUCCCUGUCUCUUAUACAC
rnacentral:rRNA from 1 species